GACGGAAGGUGCAAGCGUUGCUCGGAAUCACUGGGCGUAAAGGGUGCGUAGGCGGCUUGGUAAGUUGGGUGUGAAAGCCCCGGGCUCAGCCCGGGAAGGGCACUCGAAACUGCCGAGCUGGAGUGCCGGAGGGGAGAGUGGAAUCCCUGGUGUAGCGGUGAAAUGCGUAGAUAUCGUAAGGAAGACCAGUGGCGAAGGCGGGUCUCUGGACAGUUCCUGACGCUGAGGCACGAAGGUCAGGGGAGCAAACGGG
rnacentral:rRNA from 1 species